rnacentral:sRNA from 1 species
UAUUCUGCCCAUGCGGGAAGGAUGAGAAGCUUCGACCAAGGUUCGAUUCGAGCGUCAGCGAGAAAGCGUUGCCGCAGGCAACGACCCGAAGGGCGAAGCGCGCAGCGCUGAGUCAUCCUUCCCCCACCACCA